AAUUAGUGGUUCCUCGGGCUUCUUUUUUGAUCCGAAGUGAGCAGCAACCUCAGCCAUAGAUAUCGCAUGACUUUCCUCCGUAGUUCGUUCAUAUGGAAGCAUCGGAGGUGGAGACUUUGCUUCCUUAGGAGGUGGGUUCUUCUUCUACUUUGGAGGUGGUGGGAUCGAAGCCUUCAAGUUUUUCUUCUUACGAAGUGGAGGCUAAGGUAAUGGUGGAUUCAUGCUUUGGUCCCUUGUAGCUAGUGGGGACGAUGGAUUCAUGCUUUGGUCCUUGGAGCAGGUAUAUCCCUGAAUGGUGGUGUCGGUGAUUUGUGCCUUGAGCUCUGAAGGGAUAAUGCGGCAAAUGUGGCUGCUUGCGGAAAUCAUACGUAGCACUUGGCCCGACAAAUGCAGGUGCGGAACGGAGGGAGCAGCCAGCUAGCUCGCUCU
rnacentral:lncRNA from 1 species